CCUCCUCCUCCGCCUCCUCCUCCUCCUCCUCCUUCUCCUCCUUCGAGCGGGGCCCAGGCCCAGCCGCUAACACCGCUGCCGCCGCCGAGCUCCGCCGCUGCCGCCGAGCACCAUGGGAGAUGCCGGGAGCGAGCGCAGCAAAGCGCCCAGUCUGCCGCCUCGCUGUCCCUGCGGCUUCUGGGGGUCCAGCAAGACUAUGAAUCUCUGUUCCAAAUGCUUUGCUGAUUUUCAAAAGAAACAACCAGACGAUGAUUCCGCUCCAAGUACAAGUAACAGCCAAUCAGAUUUAUUUUCCGAAGAGACCACCAGUGACAACAGCAAUACCUCGAUAACCACGCCAACUCUUAGUCCCAGCCAGCAGCCGCUUCCGACAGAACUGAAUGUAACUUCACCAAGUAAAGAGGAGUGUGGGCCAUGCACAGAUACAGCUCAUGUCUCGUUAAUCACACCAACCAAAAGAUCCUGUGGUACAGAUUCACAGUCUGAGAAUGAGGCUUCGCCAGUGAAACGGCCACGACUACUGGAGAAUACUGAACGACCCGAGGAAACCAGCCGAUCUAAACAGAAAAGCCGACGUCGGUGCUUCCAGUGCCAAACCAAACUGGAGCUGGUGCAGCAGGAACUGGGAUCGUGCCGCUGCGGUUACGUGUUCUGUAUGUUGCAUCGCCUCCCCGAGCAGCAUGACUGUACGUUUGACCACAUGGGCCGUGGCCGAGAGGAAGCCAUCAUGAAAAUGGUGAAACUGGACCGGAAAGUGGGGCGCUCUUGCCAGCGCAUUGGGGAAGGGUGCUCCUGAAGGCCGGCUUGGCCGCUACGUGACGCUGUUCUUAGUUCACUAAUGUUAGCCUUAUUUAGGACAAAGUCAGCCAGACACCUUGUACUGGGCACGCGUCAGACUACAGCCAGUCCGUUUCCUUUCCUUAGCCAGCCAUCCUGGUACUGUAGUUUAGGGGUUGAUGGUGGUUGAAAUUGAUUUCUGGCUGGUUACUAAGGUGCCUGCUAGCCAUUGUAUAAAAUUAAAACAUGAAGAAUAUUUUUUUUUGAGCAUGGCUAGUGGAUUUAAAACAACACAUACCUGUCACUGCUGGAGUCAAACUUACAAAAAGCCUUAAGUGGAAAGUGUUCCAGACGGAGACUCUGAGUCAAUAGAGGAGGAGAAGCUGGUGUUCAAGUCCCCACGACGCACAUGGCUUUGCCGGAAGCUCUGGUUAGUGUUCGGCCUUCACCUCUUCACUAUCCUUAGUCCCAGUAGCCAGGAUACCUGAUGGCCACGCGUGCCCGGGCCACGGGAGGCUGUUGCGAUUGGCCCCGUGGCUGGGCUGGGUGGUGGCCUCGCUCUCCCACUGAGCAGGAAAUGGGGGUGGGGACAGGUUAAGAAAAUUUACCUGACUUGCUAUGAAAAAACUCUCUCAUCACACGAGAAGAGAAACAGUAACCUCACUUUGAAAAUCAGCUCCACUCAAGCCUAGUCCACGAAUGAGAACCACCUUUUCUACACAGGACCCUUGGUCACGAGAAGCGCCCGCGGGCGCGCCCUGACCCACGGGCUCUGGUUUGCCGUUUGCCGAGUGCAGGGAUCUGGCAGUGGAUCAAAUAAGGCUAAUUGCAGCACCGCAGCUGUGGCCUCCAAACUGGCCUCUGCAGCUAGGUUUCUAGAUUGGAAGUUUUUUAAAAAGAUGUUUCACAGCCAGCAGGAAUCAAUAGAAGAGCUGGGAGCUGCCUGCAGCUCCGUCCCUUCCAGCAGGAGCCUGCUCAGCCCCUCCAAGGCCAAGGGGACGAUGCCUUGGCCUCGCCUCUCAUGUCUGUGCAGCCCCACAGUCCAAGGGCGACCAGUCCACUUCUACCACAUAGCAAGUUUAGUAAGGGGGGGGGGCAGCAUAUGUCACAGGGACAGAGGUUCGUGGCCAUGGCCCAGCUUGAGAGACACACUCGCUCAGGCAGGUGCGGGGAGGGCCUGUUUCUCAGCGUGUUUCUCUUCAGAGAGGAGUUGAGUGGAGGCAGGAGCUCAGGCCCAGUGGGGAUGGGUGGAGAUGGGCCUGUUUGCCAGUGUUAGGAAAUCAUCACCGAUCAGGUGUGGGGGGUGGGUAGACAGGAGAAAGAUGCCCUUGAAAGCCUGAGCAGGGGUGAAUGGCCCCAGAGCCCCAUCUGAUCCAGGCCGGUGAGGGUCGGAGGCUCCUGCAGAGGCAGUUUGGAUCUGCCCGCACACAGGCUACUGGAAUAGUUUAACCCAGCAACUUACCCUUUUAUACCACAGCAAGUGUUUGCUCAACUCUGUCUGCAAAUUAACAGUUAAUACCUGCAACUACAAAUGUUUUUGGUCCGAAAUACUGAAAUAGGAAAUCACGCUCUUCCCCGCCUCCUCUCCCACCCUACCCCCACCAGAGUGGAAUCCGCUGCAAAAUCUCCAGCCUUAAUUCUUGCUUCAGGACCCAGACCGGCGUCUUGCUCUAGGGCAGCCCAGGGCGGAGGGGCCAGGUCUGCCCACGUUUACCACUGUUACCAAGCCACGGCCCUCUGGCCAGUACCUGGCCAUCCUCAGUGAUGCGGCCCACCUCGGCCCCCCACCAAGCUCUGAUCGUGAAGAGGCCACAGGCGCCCUUCCGGCCCUCCUCAGGCCCCACCGGCUGCUGCUUCCCGGCGGCAGCGAUGGGAAGCAGGCUCUCUGGGGAGCCCGGCCGCACACGGGGCUCGCAGCCCAUGGUCACUUCCUGAUGGUAGAGCUGGGGGUGGGGUGGGAGGGCUUGUUCCCCGGCAGUAUCUGUUCUGUGAAGUUUGUUAAAUGUAAGGAAAGCUUAAAUUCUUGUAUCUUUAAAAGAGAAAAUCUUAUUUAACCCUUUUGUGUUCUAGAUUUACUUACACACAUAGCCUAGAGCUCAGUUUUAGUUUUAACAUUGUGAAAAUAUUAAAAGAAUCUUGUAACUUUAUUCUUUUUUCUCCUGCUGAAAAAAAAAAUUAAACCAAUCGUAUGAAAGUUUGGAUUUCUCUGUUUUGCCGGUUCUCCUAAGUGCCACCUGGAUGACCAGAAAAACAAUAAAAGGUCUCCCCAGCCAGAGGUUGGAAGAGAUGGAGGGCUCUUGUGUGCACUGUCUGGGGCUCACUUGUCUGUGACCUCACUGGGCACAAACACUGGCCCAAGGCUAAAUCACACCGUCCCUGCCGUCAGGACCUCCACCAGAUGGACCUCAGCCCACAGUGGGGAGUGGGAUUCAACCGCAGGGUGGAGCAGCUCCAGAAUCCGUGCUCUCUCCAUAUCAGGAUGCCUCCUCACACAGACAACAUAACAGCAAGUGAGAAGGAAUACACAGUGUGAGAAAUUAACUUCGCCUGGAAGGGAAACCAGGCCUUGAAGACAGGGCGGGAGUGGCCUUCCAGGCAGAAGGGACAGGGAGGACUUCCAGAUAAAGGCUUGGGGCCUCGCUCUCGCCUUCUGUACACCAACGUGCCAGCUCAGCUGUCUCAGUGGAUAAUCCAACCCACUGGCCUUGAACCUAACAUGACGACAGUGCGAAGCCAACACCCAGCCAGGUCCUGGACCACUGCCGAUGAGGAUGAACAUCACGGUGUCUGUACCUCACCAUCAUCAUCUUGUGCAAGGCUGGGGUUCUUCCCUUAGGACCCUAGGCCCCUUCGGAUGUCCACCCGUUGCAAACGGGCAUCCAGAGAGGGGGCCUGUGGGCAGUCCUGACUGUUCAUGGGAGCAGGGGUGGAAAGUGAGCCUGUCCUGGAGAAACUGGCACCUUCUCUGGUGGCCAAGGGGUCGGGGCUGGCCCGAGAUGCCUGCCACCCCAGCAGAGGUGCAAAGGGAAGAGAGGCUGGGAUGCGUCUGCUCUUUUCACACAGACACUGGAGGUCGCUGUUGCCUGGAGGAGUCGUCACUGCCACGAGGGGCGGUACCAGGUGCCGUGUGGAAACUGCCGCUUGUCCCUCACACCCCUAAGCUCCUCUCCCCACCGAGCACCUCAGGCUUCCCUCUCGGUGGAACAGCCAGGUCCUGAGUUUCUCUUCGCUCAGAAGCUUGUGUGAUGCAAUUUCUUUCCUCCGAACCUUCCCAAGACUGCGAUACCCCUUGGAAAGGAUGUGACCAAAAGUGAACGAGGCAUACAGGGCAGAGCCACACUACUGAUUUAUGCAAAACCAUUACCGCAGUCGCCGCAUCAUUUUCCCUUCCCUUCUCGGCAAUCACGUAUCCCAUUAGCCUGUUUGACUACUGCUGCUCACGAAGGGGUACCUUCGCUGAACCAGCUUCAGUGGCUUCUGGAUCUGUCUUCCGAGAGGAGCCAGUUAAAUUGGAAUGUAGUCGUGUGUAUGAAUCCGACGCAGCCUGAGUCACAUCCGUGUGUCCUUUUUUGUAGCUGCUGUUUCUUAUCCCUUUGCCUUUCCUCUCUGGGAGCCGUAAUUCUUGACGUGUCUGAGAUAGUCUGGGGUGAACCCUGGAAAGGACGUACACAAACGUGCUGGCUCCUUCUUGGCGAACAGGCAAAUUCCUCGGCUAGCCACUGUUUGCUGCCUUUCAUUAGAGGGAUUCCCUGAGCACUUCGUUCAAUGUGUCUUCAAGGUUUUUAAAAGCAGAGAAGCCUCUGCUAAUUUUCCCAAGUUGGGCUAAGAGUCCAGCGUGAACUGUAGCAGAAAUCAGGAAAAUUUAAUAAAUGUUGAUCAAUGACUCUACCUU